rnacentral:rRNA from 1 species
GAUGAACGCUGGCGGCGUGCCUAACACAUGCAAGUCGAACGGAGUUAUGAAGUUUUCGGACGGAUUAACUUAGUGGCGGACGGGUGAGUAACGCGUGGGUAACCUGCCUCAUACAGGGGGAUAACAGUUGGAAACGACUGCUAAAACCGCAUAACAUUGCGAUGCCGCAUGGCGAUGCAAUUAAAUAUUUAUAGGUAUGAGAUGGGCCCGCGUCUGAUUAGCUAGUUGGUGAGGUAAUGGCUCACCGAGGCGACGAUCAGUAGCCGGCUUGAGAGAGUGACCGGCCACAUUGGGACUGAGACACGGCCCAAACUCCUACGGGAGGCAGCAGUGGGGAAUAUUGCACAAUGGGCGAAAGCCUGAUGCAGCGACGCCGCGUGAGUGAAGAAGUAUUUCGGUAUGUAAAGCUCUAUCAGCAGGGAAGAUAAUGACGGUACCUGACUAAGAAGCCCCGGCUAACUACGUGCCAGCAGCCGCCGUAA